GGGCCCGCACAAGCGGAGGAGCAUGUGGUUUAAUUCGAUGAUACGCGAGGAACCUUACCUGGGCUCGAACGUGUAUGGAAUUAUGCCGAAAGGUAUAAGCCAGCAAUGGCCGUAUACGAGGUGCUGCAUGGUUGUCGUCAGCUCGUGCCGUGAGGUGUUAGGUUAAGUCCUGCAACGAGCGCAACCCUUACCUUUAGUUGCCAGCAUGUAAUGAUGGGGACUCUAAAGGAACUGCCUACGCAAGUAGUGAGGAAGGUGGGGAUGACGUCAAAUCAGCACGGCCCUUAUGUCCAGGGCGACACACGUGCUACAAUGGCCGAUACAAAGGGCAGCUACCGGGCGACCGGAUGCGAAUCUUUAAAAUCGGUCUCAGUUCGGAUCGGAGUCUGCAACUCGACUCCGUGAAGUCGGAUUCGCUAGUAAUCGCGCAUCAGCCAUGGCGCGGUGAAUACGUUCCCGGGCCUU
rnacentral:rRNA from 1 species